UACGGGGGGGGCAAGCGUUGUUCGGAAUUACUGGGCGUAAAGGGCUCGUAGGUGGCCAACUAAGUCGGACGUGAAAUCCCUCGGCUUAACCGGGGAACUGCGUCUGAUACUGGAUGGCUUGAGUUUGGGAGAGGGAUGCGGAAUUCCAGGUGUAGCGGUGAAAUGCGUAGAUAUCUGGAGGAACACCGGUGGCGAAGGCGGCAUCCUGGACCAACACUGACGCUGAGGAGCGAAAGCCAGGGGAGCAAACGGGG
rnacentral:rRNA from 1 species